rnacentral:tRNA from 1 species
UCGGGUAUGGUGUAGCGGUAACAUCGUUGACUCUCACUUCUCCAGAAGUGUCUGCCUUCUCAACAGCCCCGGGUUCGACUCCCGGUAUCCGAG